UGGGGAAUAUUGCACAAUGGGCGAAAGCCUGACGCAGCGACGCCGCGUGAGUGAUGAAGGCCUUCGGGUUGUAAAGCUCUGUGGGGAGAGAAGAAUAAGUGCGGGCUAAUACCCCGCAUGAUGACGGUAUCUCCUUAGCAAGCACCGGCUAACUCUGUGCCAGCAGCCGCGGUAAGACAGAGGGUGCAAACGUUGUUCGGAAUUACUGGGCGUAAAGCGAGUGUAGGCGGUUUGGUAAGUCGGAUGUGAAAGCCCCGGGCUCAACCCGGGAAGUGCAUUCGAUACUGCCAAGCUAGAGUAUCGGAGAGGUUGGUGGAAUUCUCGGUGUAGAGGUGAAAUUCGUAGAUAUCGAGAGGAACACCGGUGGCGAAGGCGGCCAACUGGACGAAUACUGACGCUGAGACGCGAAAGCGUGGGGAGCAAACAGGAUUAGAUACCCCCGUAGUCCCUGAGCGGGCUGGCAAGGCGCAU
rnacentral:rRNA from 1 species